GGUCCAGCCUGCCCAGUGAACUAUUCAACGGCCGCGGUACCCUAACCGUGCAAAGGUAGCAUAAUAACUCGUUCUUUAAAUGCGGACUUGUAUCAAUGGCAUCACGAGGGUUGCACUGUCUCCUCCCCCCAAUCAGUGAAACUGACCUCCCCGUGAAGAGGCGGGGAUUUUAUUAUAAGACGAGAAGACCCUAUGGAGCUUUAAACCCACAUGUAACCCCUAAAUAACUACUUCUACAUAUCCCCGGGGACCUACAUACCGGUUUUAGGUUGGGGCGACCACGGAGUAAAACAUAACCUCCCUGAUGAACGGAAAACCUCCUCCUUAUUAAAGAACCACACUUCUAAAAAUUGGCAAACCAACACUACUGACCCGUAAUACGAUCAACGAACCAAGUUACCCUAGGAUAACAGCGCAAUCCACCUCAAGAGCCCAUAUCAACAGGUGGGUUUACGACCUCGAUGUUGGAUCGGGAUAUUCCAGUGUGCAGCCGCUACUAAGGUUC
rnacentral:rRNA from 1 species